GUCCCCUCUUCUCUAGGCCUUUUGUCUAAUUCCAGCCCGGAUACGCUUCCUUAGCAACGGGUUGCCUUGGCAACAGGAGGACGCGGGCUGGCGGGCUUGGUUCCUGGCGAGUUUGUAGCACUCGCCUGCGGUCUGAGGCACCGGCUGAGCCAUGUCGGAGAUCCUGUGCCAGUGGCUCAACAAGGAGCUGAAGGUGUCCCGGACCGUGAGUCCCAAGUCAUUUGCAAAGGCAUUUUCCAGUGGCUAUCUAAUUGGAGAAGUUCUACACAAGUUUGAACUUCAGGAUGAUUUUUCAGAAUUUUUGGAAAGCAGGGUUUCAAGUGCCAAACUUAAUAAUUUUUCUCGCUUGGAGCCAACACUUCACCUUCUGGGUGUGCAGUUUGAUCAGAAUGUGGCCCAUGGCAUCAUCACAGAAAAGCCUGGGGUGGCAACAAAGCUUUUAUAUCAAUUGUACAUUGCUCUUCAGAAAAAGAAGAAAAGUGGAUUGACUAGAUUGGAGAUGCAAACCAUGCAGCCUCUGACAAAUUUAAGACUUCAAAACAUGAAAAGGGAUACUUUUCCAGAGAGACUUAGACACAUGAUACCACGUCAAACUGAUUUCAAUCUGAUGCGGGUUACAUACAGGUUUCAAGAAAAAUAUAAACACGUGAAAGAAGAUCUUGCCCAUUUGCAUUUUGAGGAACUUGAAAGAUUUCAAAAACUCAAGGAAGAGCAAAGAUAUUUUGAUAUCAAAAAGCAAUACUUAAACAGAAGACGACAAAAUGAAAUAAUGGCCAAAAUCCAAGCAGCUAUCAUACAGAUACCUAAACCUACAUCAAAUCGUACUUUGAAAGCACUCGAGGCCCAAAAAAUGAUGAAAAAGAAAAAAGAGGCAGAGGAUGUGGCCAGUGAAAUUAAGAUGUUCGAAGCAUUAAUAAAAAAGGAUCUCCAAGCAAAGGAAAGUGCAUCGAAGACUUCUUUAGAUACAGCAGGCCAGACAGCUACCAAUUUGUUAAAUACUUACUCGGAUGAUGAGUACAUUAAAAAAAUCCAGAAACGCCUUGAAGAAGAUGCUUUUGCACGAGAGCAAAGGGAGAAAAGACGGCGGAAAUUGUUAAUGGACCAGUUAAUAGCCCAUGAAGCACAAGAGGAGGCUUAUCGGGAGGAACAGCUGAUUAACCGACUGAUGCGGCAGUCCCAGCAGGAGCGCAGGAUUGCUGUGCAGCUCAUGCAUGUUCGGCAUGAAAAGGAAGUUUUAUGGCAAAACAGAAUUUUCAGAGAAAAACAACAUGAGGAAAGACGACUGAAAGACUUCCAGGAUGCUCUUGAUCGAGAAGCGGCUUUGGCAAAACAAGCCAAGAUUGAUUUUGAAGAACAAAUCCUUAAAGAAAAGAGAUAUCAUGAGCAGAUUGCUGUGGAAAGAGCUCAAGCUUGUUAUAAAAAGCAUUAUUCAAUAUGUGCAGAAAUUUUGGAUCAAAUAGUUGAUUUGUCCACUAAAGUGGCAGACUAUCGAAUGUUGACAAAUAAUCUGAUUCCAUAUAAGUUGAUGCAUGAUUGGAAGGAACUGUUUUUCAAUGGAAAGCCCAUAUAUGAACAAGCCUCUGUUAAGACACUACCUGCCGACCCCUCAAGAGAACAACUUACGGAACUGGAGAAAAGGGACUUACUAGAUACCAAUGAUUAUGAAGAAUAUAAGAACAUGGUUGGAGAGUGGGCCUUACCAGAAGAAAUGAUUGACAAUGUACCUCCCUCCAACAAUCACAUACUGGGCCAUGUUGUUCGCAGACUAUUUGAAAAGUCUCUUCCUCCUCAAGCAGAAUCAACAACACCUGAAUUACCUUCAUUUGCUGUUAAAGGAUGCUUAUUGGGGAAAACGUUAAGUGGAAAAACUACCAUUUUAAGGUCUCUACAAAAAGACUUUCCUAUGCAGAUACUUUCUAUUGACACUCUUGUUCAAGAAGCUAUCCAAGCAUUUCAUGACAAUGAAAAAGUCACUGAGGCCCUACCAAUUCAGAAAAAAGAUGAAGAAGAUGCUCUACCGGUUCUGCAGGAGGAGAUUAAAGAAAGCCAGGAUGCACAGAAUGUAUUUUCGGCUGGUCCAGUUUCAGAUGAAGUAUUACCAGAAACAGAAGGUGAUACAAUACUUAAUGCUAAUGCUGAUAAAACACCAAAAGCUGAAGAAGUCAAAUCAAGUGAUCAUCUCUUAAAACUCACUACGCGUGCUCAGCUUGGCGCAAAAUCAGAACAGUUACUGAAGAAAGGAAAGAGCAUUCCUGACGUGCUGCUUGUUGGCAUCAUGGUAAAUGCUAUUAACAUGAUACCUGUGAAUCAAGACUGGAUCCUAGAUGGUUUUCCAAUGACUUUAAACCAAGCACAGCUUCUGGAAGAAGCUCUUACGGGCUGCAAUAGAAACCUCAUAGAAGAGAAGAGAAAAAAAGCACAAAAAUCCACUUUGGCUAUUGAUCCUGUGACUUACAAAGAAGUACCUCUUCCCUCUUCUGCAUUUGAUUUUGUCAUAUUGUUAGACAUUUCAGAUAAUUCCUCCAUGAGUCGCAUGAAUGAUAUAAUAGCUGAAGAAUUUUCUUAUGAAACUGCUCAAGAAGAUAUCAGUCAACGUGUAGCUGCUGAAAACCAAGAUAAAGAUGAAGACCAGAAUUUAAGAGACCAGAUACAACAUAGAAUUAUAGGUUUCUUGGACCACUGGCCCUUAUUGGAGCAAUGGUUUUCAGAGCCAGAAAAUAUUUUGAUAAAAAUCAAUGCUGAAAUAGAUAAGGAAUCUUUAUGUCAAAAACUAAAAGAAAUUUUUGCAGUUGAAAUAGUGAAAAAAAAGAAUAAAGUUGAGAAGAAAUUAGAAGAAAAGGAAGCUGAGGAAAAAGCAGCAGCCUCCCUGGCUGAGCUUCUACUUCCUGCACCUUCUCCCGCUCCUCCUCCUGAAACAGAAAAAGAGAAGGAAAUUCAUCUUCAGCAUGUGCCUUCAAAAACUCCUAGUGCAAAAGGAAAACCUAAAUCAGAAGCCCCGCCUGGUAAGCAAGAAUCUCCUCAGGAAGGAAAAGGAAAGAAAGGUUCUCCUAAAGGAAAACCAUCAGGAGGAAAAGCACCAGUGAAGAAAUCACCUGCUGACUCUACAGAUGUAUCACCUGUUGCAAUAAUGCCUCAACUACCUAAGCCAGGAUCGGAAGAAUGGGUCUAUGUGAAUGAACCAGUUCCUGAGGAAAUGGCCUUGUUUUUGGUACCUUACUGGGAACUAAUAGAAAAUUCCUAUAUAAACAGCAUCAAAACAGCACUUAGGUAUCUGAGGGAAGACCAGCAUACUGUGCUUUCUAACUUAUAUGAAAUUAGAACAAGUUUCCAGGAGUUUCUAACACGUCCAGAUUACAAGCAAGAUUUUGUAGCUCAAUGGCAGGCUGAUUUCAACUCCCUUCCUGAUGACCUGUGGGAUGAUGAGGAAACAAAGGCUGAGCUACACCAACGAGUGAAUGAUCUGCGGGACCGCCUGUGGGACAUUUGUGACGCCCGGAAGGAAGAGGCAGAGCAGGAGCGUCUUGACAUCAUUAACCAGAGCUGGUUACAGGACUCUGUCGGAAUAACAGUGAACCAUUUCUUUUCCUUGAUGCAGGCAGAACUGAACCGUUUUCAAGAUACGAAGAGACUCCUUCAAGAUUAUUAUCGGGGAAUGGAAAAUAAAAUCCCAGUAGAGGAUAAUAAAAAAUUUACUAGAAUCCCUUUGGUUCAACUGGAUAGUAAAGACAACUCCGAAAGCCAACUUAGAAUUCCUCUAGUUCCUCGAAUGUCCAUUUCUCUGGAAACAGUUACGCCCAAACCAAAAACAAAAUCAGUACUGAAGGGCAAGAUGGAUAACUCCCUAGAAAACAUAGAGUCCAACUUUGAGGCCAAUGAGAGGCUGGUCAUGGACACCUGGCAGCAGGCUUCUUUAGCAGUAUCUCACAUGGUGGCUGCUGAAAUUCAUCAGAGGCUCAUGGAAGAAGAAAAAGAAAACCAGCCAGCAGACCCCAAAGAAAAAUCUCCUCAGAUGGGUGCAAAUAAAAAAGCCAAAAAGGAGCCACCCAAGAAAAAACAGGAAGACAAAAAACCCAAAGGUAAAUCAACACCUACAGCAGAAGCGACUCCUGUGGUAGCAACCACAGAGGAAAUUGCUGAAAUCGAAAUGAAAAAUGAGCUGAAGCUCAAAAUAAAAGAAGAACACCUUGCUGCCUUGCAAUUUGAAGAAACAGCCACGCAAUUUCGACUUGAACUGAUAAAGACAAAAGCAUUGGCUUUUCUUGAAGAGUUAGUUACAAAGGUGGUUGAUGUAUAUAAACUCAUGGAAAAAUGGCUUGGUGAGAGGUAUUUGAAUGAAAUGGCCAGUAUAGAAAAAUUAACUGAUGUAGCUCGCUAUCACAUUGAAACAUCUACAAAAAUUCAGAAUGAACUUUAUUUAAGCCAAGAAGAGUUCUUCAUUAAUGGCAAUAUAAAAGUUUUCCCAGAUCCUCCCCCACCAAUACGUCCUCUACCUGUAGAAAAGGAAGAAGACGGCAACCUGACCAUUGAACAGCUUGACAGUCUUCGAGAUCAGUUCUUAGAUAUGGCACCUAAAGGCAGGAAUCCCUUGGAUGAUGUGAGUAGAGUCACCGAAAAGCAGAAAAGGCCACAGAAGCUUUACCAUUACCUUCCAAAGAGAAACAAUCAAUUUUUGAAAAUUUGGCUUAAAAAAUACCCUUGGCUUAUAUAUGAUGAGUUAUUAAAUCUUAUGUUCUGCACCCUGUGUCAUAAGCAUCGAGUCAAGUCAGGGGGAAGUCAAGCAAAUUUUUUUUAUGGUACUGACAACUUGAGGGCUGAGUUUCUCAGUGCACAUCAUCUCAGUGAGGCUCAUGCCAAGGCUUCAUUAAUGGAAGCAACGAGUAGUUCUUCAGUGAACAGAGCAACCACCAAACUAAUGAUGAAGACCAUGAGCAAAGGAACCCUCGGGAGAGUAGAGAAAUUGUUCAGAUCAUGCCAUGCUAUUGCCAAGACCAGGCGUCCCCUCAAAGGUUUUAUUUGGAUGUGCAAGUUGGUUGACAUGAAAGGUGUUGAUAUUGGCCCAGUAUUCAGAACUAAAAUAUCAGCAAGAAUGUUUACACACUUUAUCGCUGAAGCUGAACAAAAAAAUUUAAGAGAGAAGCUAGAAAAAAGAAAAUUUUUCUCUGUCAUCAAUGAUGAAAUCAUAGACAGUUUAAUCAAAGAAGCCGAACUUGUCUAUGUGCAGUUUGCUCAUGUGGGAAAAGUGCACUGUCAAAUUGUUGGCGUACAGUCAGUAGAAAGAAAUGAUCCUCUGGCAAUAAACAAUGCCACUGAGAAAACUCUCGAGAGAAAUCUUCAACUUACGCUGUCAAGCCAAGACUGGGCAAAGAAGCUGGUUGGUUUUGGAAGUGAUGGUACCCAUGGGAUAGAGGGAGGGAACAAUGAGGUGGCCCUGCUAUUAAGAGAAAUACAACUAUGUUUACAGACUAUAUAUUGCUUUGCCAUCACCUUGAACUAUCUUACAAAGUGGUGUUCCAGAGCACUCCUCUGUACAAUGAUGUCAAAGGCCUCCUUCACAGAAUUUAUCACUUUUAUCACAAUUCUCCUCUUCAUAAGAGUGCUCUGAGGACUGCUUUCAAAGGCCUUCACCUUUGACCUGUGAUGCCUUCUCAAAUAGGAGGCAGGAGGUGUCUUCAUGGAUUACAGGCAGCCCUCCAGAACUUUCUCAAGGGAUAUCCUGCAAUUGUUCAGCAACUCCACUCAGUAAGUAAUUUUGAAAUACCAUAUUGUUUUACUUUUUCAAAAUCACAGAACAUACUUCUCUUGAGCUCCCUGGAAUCAUAAUUUUGGGAAGGAUAACCACCAUGUUAUUCCCAACCCGUGUUUCAGGCAGGUGAAAGCAAAAGUGACGCCAGUCAAAAGAAAUCCAAAGAGCUUCUAGAGUCUUUUCUCCAAGCUGACAUUGUUAAAUUUGCCCACUUCUUGUUGGAUGUCAUUAAUGUCCUCAGCAUUCCGUCCUGUGUCAGUAAGAACAGAAACUCAAUUGCUGACAUAUUUGCCACCUAAGUGUCAACUCUGGAAAUGCUCUGAAUUUAUCAAACAAGACUAGGGCCAAAAGAACGCAUAGUGGAUUCAGUCACACACUUUCAUGGAAACUGCCUCAGAGGGAAAGAAAACAUUUCUGCUGUGAGAACUACUGUUUUAACACAUCUUAUCAAGAGGCUUCAAGGCUGUUUCAGAGACGCCAGCCAAAAUGCAGUGAGGGCUACCGUGAUUGGAAGUUUUAAAUUGUGACCCACAAAGAUAAAUCAAGAAUUUGGAGAAAAAGAGGUAUCCAUCCUGACUGCACACCAUGAACCAGUAUCAGAAGCUGCCAAUGUGAAACUUAGUGAAGUGGAUACUGAAUGGAGCAUGUUGAAGUUAGAGAUCUAUGGCAGAUUUCAAAACAUUCAACAGUUGACCUGGGAUUUUGUGAAUUCCAUUUACUUACACAAGUAUCCAAAUAUCCUGACACUAGUCGACUUAGUGCUGACCCUUCCUGCAAGUUCAGCUGAAGCAGAACGUGGCUUUAGUCAGAUGAAACGGACCAAGUUACACAUGCAUCCAAAAAUCAAGGCUGAAUAUCUGACAGAUGUCCUAAUCAUUCAGUUGAAUUCUCCAGACAUUAAUAAUUUUGACCCUAGGAAAGCUAUCCAUUUAUGGAAUACAGGAACACCGUCUUCAACUGGUGACACAAGCUUUAAUUCAGAUUGUUCAUCAAACUCAGAAAACCAUUAUGAAAGUGAUUAGCAAUAGGCAAAUGUUUACAUUGUAGUUGCAUAGCAAUGUAACUUUUUUGCAUAGUAAAAAACAUAAAAUAAAUGGUGUCCAGAAACCUGAAAUUUAAAAGUAAAACAAUAACUUGUCUUCACAUCAAACAAAAGGCAUUUGGUUUCUUCCAAACAUACAGAGUAAAAAACUCAAGAUUGUUUCAUCUAUAACUUUCUAACUUCACUUAUAUGUAUUCAUGUGUUCUUUCACACUCUUUCGGUGGAGCUGUAUGCUUCUACACAAUGGUGUUAUUUUGAGAUCAUUUUUUUGAGAGUUAUCACUAAGGGUGACCAGACUAUGAUUAUGGCCUGAUUUCCCUUAGGCCUGGCAUACGAUUCAUAAUUUUUCCUCGAUAAUUCUCAGUGAUAGCUGCAUUAGGUAAUUAACUCACAGCCAGAUUAAAAGAGAGCUUCUCUUUUCAUCUGUGAACAAAAUUUGUAAAUUUAUGUAAUUAUGUUAUUGCAAUCAUAUCACUGCAUGCUUUGGCCAUUUAAGUAACAAAGGCAAAUAUUAAAACAGUUUUCACAUUUCAUGCUAAAUCCUCAGGUAAACCAUUCUUAUGUAAACUGAAAGUACUGUCCUAUAACACUGUUUUGCACCAUAUCCAUUAGAGGUAGCAGAAAUGUGUUGCAGCUUACAAGAUUUUUAAAAUUCUUUGAGCCUCCUCAUGGUUUCAAUAGAUUUUGUUUACGGCUGUAGCUUGAAGAGCAUGACUGAGUUAUGUCUGACUUAUCUAAAAACCAACGUAGGAUUUUAUAAACCUCAGUUCACUGAAAAUUCUGCUGUCUGGGAAAAUGCUCUCCUGUCUAUAAAACUGGAUACUCAAGUUUGAUGAAAAAGGAUACAGAAUUUAUUUCUGAACAGCCAAUUAUAUCAAAGAAGAAAUGUUUUGAUCUUGCUACCCAGAAAAUUACCUUCCAAAUCUCAAAACUGUGUGUUUGGUUUGAAGCACUGAGAUUUUAGAAGAAUUAUUGCAUUUCCCUGGAAGUUAGAGGAAAUGAUAAAGUUCAUGUGAACUUUUAGAAAUGCUAAAAAUUUAGUUGUAGAAAGAAAACCUUGAGAUAGCGUGUCUAUCUUUCAGUCUUUUCAUUCCUAAAACAAAGAAUAGAGAUGUACUCUGGACCUGAAAGAUACCUGAAUACACAUUAGGCGUCUCUCCUUGUUUUAGAAGGCACAAUAGGAAAUAAAGCAUUUACUGACAUUCUCAUCGAUUUGGUGACCUUGAACCUUGGCACAAACAACUUACCUAGUAGCUGG